ensembl:snRNA U6 U6 spliceosomal RNA
AUGCUUGUUGCCAGCACAUAUACUAAAAUUGGAAUGAUACAGAGAAUAUUAUCAUUACCUCUGCAUAAGGAUGACAUGCAAACUUGUGAGGUGUUCCAUAUUAAA